UUGGCAUUUUAUGUCUUUAAACUAAAUCCAUUGGAUAUUGAAUGUGUACUGAUUGAUAUUUUGGUCGUAGAUACAUGUUCUUAUAAGUUGUUAUUAGCUUCGAACUGGCUGUCAAUAACUGUGAGUUCUCUCAAAUUGGUACUUCGUGUCUUUUCGAUGUAAGGGAUGAAUAAAUACCUUGCGCGUUCGUUCUGUGCUUUUGUUAGAAGUUUUCUGCUUUGUAUCGAUCUGAUGAUUUAAGAAUUUUCACCAGAUUUUUAAAGUUUGUUCUUAUUUUGAAU
rnacentral:lncRNA from 1 species